rnacentral:rRNA from 1 species
GUGGGGAAUAUUGGGCAAUGGGCGAAAGCCUGACCCAGCAACGCCGCGUGAAGGAAGAAGGUUUUCGGAUCGUAAACUUCUAUCCUUGGUGAAGAUAAUGACGGUAGCCAAGAAGGAAGCCCCGGCUAACUACGUGCCAGCAGCCGCGGUAAUACGUAGGGGGCAAGCGUUGUCCGGAAUGAUUGGGCGUAAAGGGCGCGUAGGCGGCCUGGUAAGUCUGGAGUGAAAGUCCUGCUUUUAAGGUGGGAAUUGCUUUGGAUACUGGCGCGCUUGAGUGCAGGAGAGGUAAGUGGAAUUCCCGGUGUAGCGGUGAACUGCGUAGAGAUCGGGAGGAACACCAGUGGCGAAGGCGACUUACUGGACUGUAACUGACGCUGAGGCGCGAAAGUGUGGGGAGCAAACAGGAUUAGAAACCCGAGUAGUCC